rnacentral:rRNA from 1 species
AGUUUGAUCCUGGCUCAGGAUGAACGCUAGCGGGAGGCCUAACACAUGCAAGCCGAGCGGUAUUGUUUCUUCGGAAAUGAGAGAGCGGCGUACGGGUGCGGAACACGUGUGCAACCUGCCUUUAUCUGGGGGAUAGCCUUUCGAAAGGAAGAUUAAUACUCCAUAAUAUAUUGAACGGCAUCGUUUAAUAUUGAAAGCUCCGGCGGAUAGGGAUGGGCACGCGCAAGAUUAGCUAGUUGGUGAGGUAACGGCUCACCAAGGCAAUGAUCUUUAGGGGGCCUGAGAGGGUGAUCCCCCACACUGGUACUGAGACACGGACCAGACUCCUACGGGAGGCAGCAGUGAGGAAUAUUGGUCAAUGGGUGCAAGCCUGAACCAGCCAUCCCGCGUGAAGGACGACUGCCCUAUGGGUUGUAAACUUCUUUUGUAUAGGGAUAAACCUUUCCACGUGUGGAAAGCUGAAGGUACUAUACGAAUAAGCACCGGCUAACUCCGUG